CUGGUUGCUGUGACAUGUUGUUGCUGGGUAUUUAAAAACAGCAUUUUCCCCAAAGUACCCAAACCUCGGGAUCUCCUCAGUGAUCGUUCAAACAGCACUGUGAACUUUCUUCAUAAACUGUACACCCCAGCAGAGGAAGAGGAGAACUGUUUUGUCACUCUGGUUGAAGAUACCCCAACCAAGAAACCAAAGUGUUGACACAUCUAUUGUCAAGUCACCCUUUCCAAGAAAAAAAAAAAAAAACUGCUUCUGCUUUCUUAAACAUAGCUAACUGGUUUACUGUUGUUUGGUAAUGGAGAUAAAA